GUAAACAAAAAAGGAAAAUUAUGUUGUUUUUCAGUAAAGUAUCAAUGCUUUCAAGAUUGUUGAGACUUGAGAGUAUGUAGGGAAAGAAAUAGAAAAUGCAUCUUUUGUGCUGUUUAGUUUCCAUAAUUAGAAUGCAUAACUAGUUUUGAAAGAAUAUUGAGCUUAGUUGAGUUCAGUCUUAUGGGUGGGGAAGUGAUCGAGGGAAAGCAGGGGAUUAAAUUGGGGCUUCUGUGUUCCUGGAUUUAGAUAACUCAUCAAUAAUUAGAAAAUCAAUUUAGCUUUAACU
rnacentral:misc_RNA from 1 species